AAUAUGUAUUAGGUUAACUGUCAUAUUUUUUAUUUUCUAAUUGUAAGUAUCUGUGAGAACUGGAAUUAUUUAAGUAAAUCCUAUAUAUGUCAUCAAUGUAAUAAGCAAACUCUGUGGGAAGAAUAAGUUUUACUAUGCAUUUCCACGUAAUAUUCAAUGCCUUCAUAGUCAUUGCAAUGAACUUCUAAAUACCAAGUAGGUUUUACGAAGUUUGUGCUGCUGCGUGCUUUGAACCCGCGCAUGCGCCUUGUCAGGUGCAUACAGGAUGCAUGCGAUUCCUUGUCCGCCAAAAUCACAACGGCAGCAGUCAGGUCUAAGCAACAACUUUCUGCAGCUUGCAGUGCUCUCUCAAGCAGCAACUACAUGAAGCAUUGUCACAAGCAAAGCCAUCUGGGUAUUCAGCCUCCACUGAGAGAGUUCUCCUGCUGCAGCAUAUAAUUUGAACGCCUAAUGUAAGAUUCCUCUGUCAAGAUGGGCACCCCAGCAAAGCUCCGCAUCAUUUUUGGAGAUGAUGAUAUUCGCAAACUCAUUCUACCUUCAGGCAUACCAAGCAGCCUCACAGACCUCAUUUGUGCUCUCAGAGAUUCUUUUGAUAUUCCAGGGGAUUUUUCUG